rnacentral:rRNA from 1 species
AUGUCUGAAUGUUGGGAAGAUAUUUUCCCACUGGUCUCUGUGAGGAAAUUAGUUCGGGAGAUUUCUGAUCAUACCUCACUUCUUAUAUCCUCCGGGGAAGAGGGGCGUGAAGCCCCGAAACCCCGCGAAUUUUGUUUUAAUCUGUCGUGGAUCAAUGAUGACAAAUUCCUACCCACUGUGAGGAAAAUUUGGGCUAGGAAGGUUGCCUCAUCAGAUCCUAUUGAUGUCCUGAAUAUCAAGCUGAAAAGAUUCAAAACAUAUUUUAAAGGGUGGGGCUUGGAUAAGUAUGGUCAUGAUAAAAAAAGGAAAGAUGAUUUACGAAUAGAACUAGCUAUGCUCGAGGAACUAGAAGAAGAAGAUAUGUUGCCUCCUGACCUAUAUAGUAGAAAAAUGGAUAUUAAUGCUGAGCUUUACGAGCUCGUGGUGAAUGAGGAAAUCUUCUGGCUUCAACAGUCUCAUGAGCGCUGGCUGCUGAAAGGAGACCUGAAUACUGACUAUUAUCACAAAAUUGCUAAUGGGAGGAAACGUAAAAAUACAAUCCAUUCACUUAAAAUGGGCGAGACACUGAUUGAAGGCACGGACAAUUUGAUUACACAUGCCACUGAGUUCUACAAAGAUCUGUUCGGGCCAGCCCCUGGCAACCGGAUUCAUCUUGAUCCGGAAACCUGGUCUCCUGGGGAGAAAUUAGACGAA